AUGAACGCUAGCUACAGGCUUAACACAUGCAAGUCGAGGGGCAUCAGGAAGAAAGCUUGCUUUCUUUGCUGGCGACCGGCGCACGGGUGAGUAACACGUAUCCAACCUGCCCUUUACUCGGGGAUAGCCUUUCGAAAGAAAGAUUAAUACCCGAUAGUAUAAUGAUUCCGCAUGGUUUGAUUAUUAAAGGAUUCCGGUAAAGGAUGGGGAUGCGUUCCAUUAGGUUGUUGGUGAGGUAACGGCUCACCAAGCCUUCGAUGGAUAGGGGUUCUGAGAGGAAGGUCCCCCACAUUGGAACUGAGACACGGUCCAAACUCCUACGGGAGGCAGCAGUGAGGAAUAUUGGUCAAUGGGCGAUGGCCUGAACCAGCCAAGUAGCGUGAAGGAUGACUGCCCUAUGGGUUGUAAACUUCUUUUAUAUUAGAAUAAAGUGCAGUAUGUAUACUGUUUUGUAUGUAUAAUAUGAAUAAGGAUCGGCUAACUCCGUGCCAGCAGCCGCGGUAAUACGGAGGAUCCGAGCGUUAUCCGGAUUUAUUGGGUUUAAAGGGAGCGUAGGUGGACUGGUAAGUCAGUUGUGAAAGUUUGCGGCUCAACCGUAAAAUUGCAGUUGAUACUGUCAGUCUUGAGUACAGUAGAGGUGGGCGGAAUUCGUGGUGUAGCGGUGAAAUGCUUAGAUAUCACGAAGAACUCCGAUUGCGAAGGCAGCUCACUGGACUGCAACUGACACUGAUGCUCGAAAGUGUGGGUAUCAAACAGGAUUAGAUACCCUGGUAGUCCACACAGUAAACGAUGAAUACUCGCUGUUUGCGAUAUACAGUAAGCGGCCAAGCGAAAGCAUUAAGUAUUCCACCUGGGGAGUACGCCGGCAACGGUGAAACUCAAAGGAAUUGACGGGGGCCCGCACAAGCGGAGGAACAUGUGGUUUAAUUCGAUGAUACGCGAGGAACCUUACCCGGGCUUAAAUUGCAGUGGAAUGAUGUGGAAACAUGUCAGUGAGCAAUCACCGCUGUGAAGGUGCUGCAUGGUUGUCGUCAGCUCGUGCCGUGAGGUGUCGGCUUAAGUGCCAUAACGAGCGCAACCCUUAUCUUUAGUUACUAACAGGUCAUGCUGAGGACUCUAGAGAGACUGCCGUCGUAAGAUGUGAGGAAGGUGGGGAUGACGUCAAAUCAGCACGGCCCUUACGUCCGGGGCUACACACGUGUUACAAUGGGGGGUACAGAAGGCAGCUACCUGGUGACAGGAUGCUAAUCCCAAAAGCCUCUCUCAGUUCGGAUCGAAGUCUGCAACCCGACUUCGUGAAGCUGGAUUCGCUAGUAAUCGCGCAUCAGCCACGGCGCGGUGAAUACGUUCCCGGGCCUUGUACACACCGCCCGUCAAGCCAUGGGAGCCGGGGGUACCUGAAGUACGUAACCGCAAGGAGCGUCCUAGGGUAAAACUGGUGACUGGGGCU
rnacentral:rRNA from 1 species